rnacentral:rRNA from 1 species
UACGUAGGGGGCAAGCGUUGUCCGGAAUUAUUGGGCGUAAAGAGCGUGUAGGCGGCCCGAUUAGUCCGCUGUGAAAGUCCAGGGCUCAACCCUGGAAUGCCGGUGGAAACUGUCGGGCUAGAGUCCGGAAGGGGCGAGUGGAAUUCCUGGUGUAGCGGUGAAAUGCGCAGAUAUCAGGAGGAACACCAAUGGCGAAGGCAGCUCGCUGGGACGUGACUGACGCUGAGACGCGAAAGCGUGGGGAGCAAACAGG